UGUUGUAGCCUGUCAAGCAGUAGCUUAUGAGAGGUCUAAAACAGGGCUGGGAGUCCUUAUGUCAGGGAGGCCACGCAGUAGCACGGCAAUCCUUACUGGGAUGUUAGGGGGAGAUAAUGUCUCAAAGGAAGUGCUGUUGAAAAGGACCGAAAAGAUAAAUUUGCUGCUGGAGCGGUGGAUGGACUUGGCAGGAACAGCUUAAAUUCGGGCAAAUGAGUUUAAAAGAAAGUACAAUUGAAAAAACUUAAAUCAAGAUGAGCAACAAUCACAGCGUGUACAGUGUACCAGCACCGACCAUCAGUCAUCUCAUGUAUGCAUUUGAGGUGUCCCCUUCUCUUCCUUUAAUUCAAGACGAUGACGAAGAAGAAUAUGCUUUCCUCAGACGACUUCUUCACACCCGUGAGCUUCAUGCACUUGUUAAAGCUUAUGAUGCAAUCCUUCUCACAAAUGCAGAAAUAGGUCCUUCUUUAUCUAAUGUGAAGGAGAUAUGUGACGAGGUUCUCACAGAUAUUCGUCCUUAUGCUGUCAUGAACGAUGAAGUUAACGAUCUAUACACCCUUCUACAGAGUCCAUUUAUACAGGCUCUGAUACAAACUCAUGACACUAUUGCAAAACGAGAUUUUGUUCCUAAGUUAACAGGAAUCCCUCUGGAAGUAGAUGAGGACGAAGAAACUAUAAAGAUUGUCCAGCUUGUUAAAAGUCAGGAUACGCUUCUAGGAGAAAGAAAUUCAGAACCCAUAGUUGGUGCAACAAUUAAGGCCGAGGAAGGUACAGGACGGAUACUGAUUGCAAGGGUUAUGCAUGGUGGCGCUGCGGACAGAUCAGGGUUGAUUGCUGUUGGAGAUGAAGUGAUUGAGGUGAACAAUAUCAAUGUUGAGGGGAAAACUCCAAAUGAUGUGCUCAAGAUACUACAGGAGGCUGAACAUACGAUAACUUUCAAGUUAGUCCCUAGUGCUGGAAAGCCAUUACUCCGUGAAUCCAGAGUUCGGUUGAAGGCUCUAUUUGAUUACAACCCAUAUGAAGACAAGUAUAUUCCUUGUAAAGAAGCUGGACUUCCAUUUGUUAAAGGAGAUAUCAUUCAUAUUGUUUCCCAGGACGAUCCUUACUGGUGGCAGGCUAGACGAGAGUGGGACAGAAGUAUGAGGGCAGGGCUUAUACCCAGUCGGGCUCUUCAGGAGAGACGGAUAAUGCAUGAGAGGAGUGAUAAGAAAGAUGAUGCUGUUAAACCCAUGUCUCUUUGUGGCGUAGGAAAAAUUCUAGAAGAGGAUAGUGGAUUGUCAGGGGAUGCUUAUGUUUGUUCGUCUCCAUCUACUCCAGGAUGUUCUUCCAAAUCUAAAACGAAGAAAAUUAUGUACGAUUUGACAGAAAACGAAGAUUUUGAUAGGGAAGAGAUUCCAACUUAUGAGGAGGUAGCUCGACUGUUCCCUAGAGCUGGAAGAUACAGACCAAUUGUAAUUAUUGGACCUCCAGGUGUUGGUCGCAAUGAGCUGAAAAGGAGAUUACUGGCCUUGGAACCAGAUAGAAUGAAAGCUACUGUUCCUCAUACAUCCAGGACUCAGAAACAAGGCGAGGUAAAUGGUGAGGAUUAUUUUUUCUGUUCUCGGCUUCAGAUGCAGCAUGAUAUCGACCAGGGGAAAUUUAUCGAACAUGGAGAGUUCCGAGGGAACCUGUAUGGAACGUCUGUAGAUGGAGUAGCAGAACUAAUCUCAGCUGGAUACCAACCUAUCCUUACACCUCACCACCAGGCUUUAAAAAGAUUGCGUACUGCUGAACUAAAGCCGUACAUUAUCUACAUAAAACCUCCAUCGUUUGAUGUUCUUAAGGAGACGAGACAUCAGGCCUACGCCCGGUCCACCUUUGAUGAAUCAAACUCCAGGUCUUUUACAGACGAGGAGUUUAGAGACAUGAUAACUGCUGGGGCUAGAAUAGAAUAUCUCUACGGACACUUUGCUGAUACUGUCAUCGUUAAUGAUGAUCUCAUUGGUGCGUUCGAAACUCUUAUUCGAUCAAUUCGGCGGCUGGAUCAAGAUGCUUUUUGGGUUCCGGCCUCGUGGGUUCAGUGAUUUCUUUUCUUCAAAUACACUAGUACAGCUUCACUUUCAAAGAUUAUUCCAAAUAUUCUAGUCAAAUUUAGAUUUAAUAAGAAUUAUGAUGCUUGUUGAUUUAUGGUAUAAAUUCUGUACUGAAAUAAAACGACGGAUCUCUACAACCACAUUCAAAGGAAAAUAUGUAAGUUAUUGAGUUUUAUGAAAUUGUUUACUUACAGUGGGUCUCAAAUUAAAUAGCUGAGCAAGAAAGCAACAUUAACUGCCGCUUAAAUUAACUUAAGUGAAAUGGGCUUCUGUACACGGCUAAACUCUAAUGUUUCAUGUUAUUGUUCAAUUGACAAUUAUUUUUUUCAUACCUUAAUUUAAACAGUCGUUUUCUUAAUCUAGUUUUAUGGGGCCCACUGUUAGUCCUUCAAAAAUACUCUGUUAUCCCUCAAAUGUAACCCCAGAUAUUGUAAAUAAAUAUUUAAACUUAAA
rnacentral:misc_RNA from 1 species